ACCUGCCCAUUAGACCGGGAUAACGCUGGCAAACUGGCGCUAAUACCGGAUACGCUCCCUGGUUCGCAUGGACUGGGGAGGAAAGGGGAAACCCGCUAAUGGAUGGGUCCGCGUCCCAUUAGCUAGAUGGUGGGGUAACGGCCUACCAUGGCGACGAUGGGUAGCCGGCCUGAGAGGGUGACCGGCCACACUGGGACUGAGACACGGCCCAGACUCCUACGGGAGGCAGCAGUGGGGAAUCUUCCGCAAUGGGCGAAAGCCUGACGGAGCGACGCCGCGUGAGCGAAGAAGGCCUUCGGGUCGUAAAGCUCUGUUCUGGGGGAAGAAGGAAGUGACGGUACUCCAGGAGAAAGCCCCG
rnacentral:rRNA from 1 species